rnacentral:rRNA from 1 species
UACGGGGGGAGCAAGCGUUGUUCGGAUUUACUGGGCGUAAAGGGCGCGUAGGCGGUCGUGACAAGUCACUUGUGAAAUCUCCGGGCUUAACUCGGAACGGUCAAGUGAUACUGUCGGACUAGAGUACAGAAGGGGCAACUGGAAUUCUCGGUGUAGCGGUGAAAUGCGUAGAUAUCGAGAGGAACACCUGCGGCGAAGGCGGGUUGCUGGGCUGACACUGACGCUGAGGCGCGAAAGCUAGGGGGAGCGAACGGG